rnacentral:misc_RNA from 1 species
CCGGGCUCGUUUGCGGUCGCGGUAUCCCUGCUCGCGCAGCGAUCCGCGUCCGUCCGGGCCGCAUCAUUGCCGUGGCUCUCAAGCGCCGGUUUCGGCCUUGGGCUCGCGUGCCGGGUUGCCUGUGUUGCGUACCUGACGAGAUGGAAUUGGUUGCCUACGAACGUCGCCAUCCGCUGUCGCGCUGCUCACGCGGCGCGGGGCGGACCCGAAAGCUUUGCCGCGUGCUCCGGUCCGUCGCCGCCGAAAAGGGGUGCUUGGGCUCGGCUCACGGGGCGAUCGCUCGGUGUUUUGGAUGCGGAACGUUCCGCGAGCAUGGGGCUCGAUUGGUCCCUAUUUGCUCAGUUGUAAAUAAAAGAGUGCGGAGCCGUGUCGCGCGUGCGCCGGGCAGCGAUGCCCGGCGACGUCGCUCGCUCCCCUCGGACGGACGACGGGGGUGCUCGGGGCCCCGGUCGGCGGCCUCUCGACCGAGAGGACGGCGAUCGGGCCGCGGGCGUCCCUUCGAACACCCGAGGAAUGCUACCUGGUUGAUCCUGCCAGUAGUCAUAUGCUUGUCUCAA